rfam:TPA: Bos taurus chromosome 12, whole genome shotgun sequence.
UCCCUGGUGGUCCAGUGGCUAAGACUCUGUACCCCCACUGCAGGGAGCCUGGGUUCGAUCCCUGGUCAGGGAA